AGCGCCACUGACGCUGAUGCUCGAAAGCGUGGGUAUCGAACAGGAUUAGAUACCCUGGUAGUCCACGCGGUAAACGAUGGAUGCUCGCUGUGUGCCUAUGAGGUACGUGGCCAAGGGAAACCAUUAAGCAUCCCACCUGGGGAGUACGCCGGCAACGGUGAAACUCAAAGGAAUUGACGGGGGCCCGCACAAGCGGAGGAACAUGUGGUUUAAUUCGAUGAUACGCGAGGAACCUUACCCGGGCUUGAACUGCAGCAGACGGAUUCAGAGAUGAUGACUCCCUUCGGGGCUGCUGUGGAGGUGCUGCAUGGUUGUCGUCAGCUCGUGCCGUGAGGUGUCGGCUUAAGUGCCAUAACGAGCGCAACCCCUUUCGUUAGUUGCCAUCAGGUGAUGCUGGGCACUCUGGCGAUACUGCCACCGUAAGGUGUGAGGAAGGUGGGGAUGACGUCAAAUCAGCACGGCCCUAACGUCCGGGGCUACACACGUGUUACAAUGGUGCAUACAGAGAGUCGGUAGCAUGUAAAUGUGAUCUAAUCAAUAAAGUGCGUCGUAGUUCGGACUGGGGUCUGCAACCCGACCCCACGAAGCUGGAUCGCUAGU
rnacentral:rRNA from 1 species